GACAGAGGUGCCAAGCGUUAGGCGGAAAUCACUGGGCUUAAAGCGUGUGUAGGCGGGCGAUCAAGUACCUUGUGAAAUCCCACGGCUCAACCGUGGAACUGCUGGGUAUACUGGUUGUCUUGAGCCAGCUAGGGGCGAGCGGAACAGACGGUGGAGCGGUGAAAUGCGUAGAUAUCGUCUGGAACGCCGAAGGUGAAAACAGCUCGCUGGGGCUGCGCUGACGCU
rnacentral:rRNA from 1 species